GGGGGGGCAAGCGUUGUUCGGAAUUACUGGGCGUAAAGGGCGCGUAGGCGGCCUAGCAAGUCCUUCGUGAAAUCCCAUGGCUCAACUGUGGAACUGCGGAGGAUACUGCUAGGCUUGAGUCCGGGAGAGGGUAGUGGAAUUCCCAGUGUAGCGGUGAAAUGCGUAGAUAUUGGGAGGAACACCGGUGGCGAAGGCGGCUACCUGGACCGGUACUGACGCUGAGGCGCGAAAGCUAGGGGAGCAAACGGGAUUAGAUACCCCGGGUAGUCCUAGCUGUAAACGUUGAGCACUUGGUGUGGCGGGUAUCGACCCCCCCUGCUGUGCCGAAGCUAACGCAUUAAGUGCUCCGCCUGGGGGAGUACGGUCGCAAGGCUG
rnacentral:rRNA from 1 species